rnacentral:rRNA from 1 species
UACGGAGGGUGCAAGCGUUAUCCGGAUUCACUGGGUUUAAAGGGUGCGUAGGUGGGUUGGUAAGUCAGUGGUGAAAUCCCCGAGCUUAACUUGGGAACUGCCAUUGAUACUAUCAGUCUUGAAUAUUGUGGAGGUUAGCGGAAUAUGUCAUGUAGCGGUGAAAUGCUUAGAUGUGACAUAGAACACCAAUUGCGAAGGCAGCUGGCUACGCAUAUAUUGACACUGAGGCACGAAAGCGUGGGGAUCAAACAGG